GCCGGCUUCGAGCCGCAUUGCACUCACAUGGACUAGUGUUAAACCUUUUCAUCGAGGAGCGAUGCAAAGGCCCGGUCUUCUCUGUGCUGUCCAAAUAUCUACUGGACAUUCUGAUAACUGACAAGAAAUUGGUCUUUGGGAAAGAGGCAGUAAAUCCCACCAACGUAUCAUACAUCUUGCGCGGAAACAUACCCGGGCUGAUUCUAGUAAUAUGACAGACGCCGUUAACGUUGCCUUUGGUAAACAUGCCUACCAAACAGACACCAACCGUCAAUAUACGGCGGACCGUAACGUUGACGAAAAUACGAAAUCGCGUUUGAUUGAAGACCAGUCAUGCACCCACACAGCGUCUCACAACGUCUCAUGAUGGGUGAAUCUCGAGCAGAUAUUCCUCAUCCGAAGCGUCAAGAUUUACAAGAGGAAUGUAUGACGCACACGUUAUUCGGUUUUCCAAGGAUAUGUUCACAUUGGCACUGCAAUCGACGUUUCCGCGAAGGUCCUGUCAAAUCUCCUCUGCGCAUCAAGCUGUUCCAAAACAGAGAACUGCAUGUUUCUUAUUUAUACUUACUAUUUAUAUUUACUAUGCCAAAUAAGUUGUUUGGCUUUGAGA